rnacentral:rRNA from 11 species
GCUAAUAGACAAAAUACUUUACAGGCACCAGAUUCUAUUUGAUCCUUGAAGUUAAGCAGGAUCAGUUCUGAUUAGUACUUUCAUGGGAGCCUGCCAAUAGAUACCAUAUGCUGUCGGCU